UAUAUAUGGUUGUCGAGUUUCAGAGGCAUUCCUUCGAUUGCAUCAAAGCAGUGAAUUGCUUUCCCCUUCCUUCGACCGUGCCGAGUGGUGUCUACCGGUUUCCGCAGCUGCUCUUUCUCCCUCUCCGCACUGCAUGUUUGCAGGUGUUCUCAGGAAAGUUGAGCGACAACAGGUGAAAGCAUUAGAGCACCAACUCGGGCUCGAGAUCGUACAAGUACAUGGAGAGGCCAACCUACAAGACAUUGAAAUUGGCUGCCACAUGGACCAUAUAUUAAAAAGUUGCACCUUUUCUAAAAGGUAUAGCGAGUCUGGAACAUAUGCUGCUUGAGAUAGAGAAUGGAGAUGAGGAAUGGUACCCAGGAAAGGAGGAAAGAAACAGCAUGCAUGUGAAGGCCAAGAAGGUGAGGAAGAAAACAAGGUGUGGGGAAAGGGGUUCUGUCUUUGGUUUUUGGUUAGUAAUAUCCUUGCUGCUGACACCGGAAGGCAACCUUUAGCCAGCCAGUACCCCACUUUGGCCUCACAGGAAAAAGUCUUCUUGCAUUUGAGAUAAGAGAAGCAUGUGAUCCACUGUCACUUCCUAUCCUACAGACUUUUAUGAUGAUGGUGCAACUGCAAGGUCUCGUUCAGAAUUCUGUAAGCUUAUUCUAAACUCAAACCUUUUCUUUUCUCUUUUUCUUUGGUGGGGAGCUGGAAAUUACCUUUACAGUUUAGGCUGAAUGCUGGAAGAACUCACUAAACUCAGUAGAUAACAUUGUCGAGAAGUAAUUAGCAUGCACAAUCCACCCAAAGCUGCUGCUAAACACACAUGCUGGCAGCUGUUUCCAAAAGAAUCUUGAUCAUCAUGUGAUCCUACAUCCUGUAAACGACUGUCACAGAAAUCCAAUAGGAGGCCCGAGUUCUCCCUUCUCACUCUGUAAAUCUUGAACUCUUGUGGUGAGAUGCCACCACCUUAUGGCUUUAGCAUGUUGUCCAGAUCUGAAGGGAGGGUAUCAAGAACAGUGAGAGACUGAGUUCAAGCAGGCCAUUUCUGUAGAAAAGAACAUGCACUAGGGGUGUGUACAUCAAAACUUACUUCAGGUAACAGAAAGAUUCUUCUUGAUAGAUAGAGAGCAGCAGUAGUCGGAUUGUUAGGCAUGGAAAGUCAAUGGAAAGGGAUGUUAAGGGCUUCAUAUUACAGAUCAUAAGACAUGGCAUGGUGCUCUCCUCAGGGAAUCAGGGUAGGGUGGGUGGGUCAGUGCACUCACAAGCACACACAUCUCUGAGGAUGAGUAUUGAGUGUUUUCUAAAACCCAAGAACAUCAAUUUUUCUUAAAUAUUACAUGCAUUAAUUUGUCUUAACACAUAGAUUUCGGCAUACGAUCAUGUAAGUCAAAUGCCAAAAAUAUGGAAAAAAAGAUUGAUGGCAUAAUUCAUGAUGACCAGUGCAAACUAAUGAGGGGAAUGUGUUUUCUGAUUUGAAGAAUACACAGUCCAAUGGCUGCAAAAGAUCAAGAACCUAUAUAAUCUAUCCUGAGAGCAAUGUGCUGGAAUAGGAUUUCUCAGCCUCAGUGGAAGGCUAUGUGUGGAGCUGAACUUUUCAUAUGGAAAGGUCAGGAGUGAUGUGUUCUUGGGGAGGACCAAUGCAAACUUGUCUAAAUCUCAUGAGCAAAUGCUGCUGACAUUGUCCUGUGGCAUUUGGCUCCAUGUGGGAGCACACUGACCAAGUGUUGUUGCAUAGGCCUGGAAGCUUGCCAGUAGGGACAUGCUGUAUGUAGACCAGUUUGCUCAAGAAACAGAGGGCUCCUUGAAGGUUUCUCAA